AGCAAGAUGUUAAGUCCCGCAACGAGCGCAACCCUUGUCUCAUGUUGCCAGCGGGUUAUGCCGGGGACUCAUGGGAGACUGCCGGAGUCAACUCGGAGGAAGGUGGGGAUGACGUCAAAUCAUCAUGCCCCUUAUGUCUUGGGCUUCACACGCAUGCUACAAUGGCCGGUACAAAGGGUUGCGAUCCUGUGAGGGGGAGCGAAUCCCAAAAAGCCGGUCUCAGUUCGGAUUGGGGUCUGCAACUCGACCCCAUGAAGUCGGAGUCGCUAGUAAUCGCAGAUCAGCAACGCUGCGGUGAAUACGUUCCCGGGCCUUGUACACACCG
rnacentral:rRNA from 1 species